rnacentral:rRNA from 1 species
GUGUCAGCCGCCGCGGUAAUACGGGCGGGGCGAGCGUUGUUCGGAUUCAUUGGGUGUAAAGGGUGCGCAAGCGGUCGGCUAAGUCGGGGGUGAAAUGUCUACGGCUCAACCGAGGCAUUGCCUUCGAUACUGGCCGACUUGAGUGCGGAAGGGGAGCGUGGAAUUCCUGGUGUAGCGGUGAAAUGCGUAGAUAUCAGGAGGAACACCCGUGGCGAAGGCGACGCUCUGGUCCGUAACUGACGCUCAUGCACGAAAGCCAGGGGAGCGAACGGGAUUAGAUACCCCGGUAGUCCUGGCCGUAAACGUUGGGCACUAGGUGUGGGAGGUAUCGACCCCUUCCGUGCCGUAGCUAACGCAUUAAGUGCCUCACCUGGGGAGUACGACCGCAAGGUUGAA